rnacentral:rRNA from 1 species
AUGAUGGCUGGCGCGGCCCGCGGCGUGGAGGAAUUAGGCGACGAUGGGGACGUGGCCCUCGGCUACCCGCUGAUCGACGACGUGGAGCGUGGGCAGAGGAAACCGGCGGCCGUCGUCGGUUACCCGCUGCCGCCGGAGGGAACGGAUCCACGGCCGUCGUCGGCGGCAAGGCCACCACCCCGUGACAAGUGCGCCUCCUGCAACAUGUUCACCAAGGGUUUUCUGGUUACCCUGGGGACCGUGUUGAUCACCGAUUUUGUCCUGGGCGGCUUGAUUCUCAAGAGAGCACCGCAUCCCCUCUUGGUGUUGCUAUGUUCGCCCUUUUAUCCUAUUGUCUGUGCUGGGUUUAUCCUGCUGAUUGCCAACUGUGAAACGUCAGAAUCAGACAUUCAGGACGGCUAG